ACCUCUUCAAACCGCUAUCUCUCUUUUUUUUUUUUUCGCUCGGCAAACAUAGAGGAGAUGAAUAAGAAGAUGUCAAAUUCAUCUCUAAGACUCUCUUACCUAAAACCUUUAUUUCGACACCUUCUCUUUCUCUCCAGAUUUGAUCUGAUAGCAAGUCGUUUACUUCUUAAUCCUUAUACCCUAGGCAUAACCUAUACUUCAGAAAAUUAGAUCCAUACAACUUGAACUUGAAAAUUUGUAACCCUAGAAAUUCGAUUUUGUUCCUAAAAUCGAAAACCAAUCAACAAUCUGAUAACAGUUGGUUGAUUAAUCAGGUCUUCCACAGCAUCUAUGUUUCCAUACUAAUACUUUCUGGUAAACGACUUCAAUGUCAUCGAAAAGGGAUGAAGAUAUUGGAUACUAUGCAGGAUCUGAUCUGCUUACAUGCUUGGAAGAUGUUUAACUGCUGUUCUAUGUGGACUUUAGCUGCCCGAUACUGUCGAAAACCAGUUAUAAACUUCUGUUGUACAACAAUGAUUAUAUUCCAGCACCGUGUUUGGUCUCAGUACAAACUUUUGGAUGGCAGUUUCUAUGAUUGUUGGAGCCUCCGUUGUAUCUUUCUAUGAGGUUGUUCUGUGUUCAAUGCAUAUGUUGAAUGAUUUGCAGGCUUAUGCCAUCAAAUUUUGGCACUUUCGUUUGUAAGUUUUCGCAGAGUUAUAGUCUCAUUUAUUGAUUGUGCUGGAUAUGUAUCUGUAUAUGAUGCAAUACGUAAGUUAACCUGGGUGCCAUUUCAUUUUAAUCUUGCCUUUCCUAAACCACUAUUUGUGUGUAAUCUUGAAACUCUUAAAAUUUGUGUAACCAGGUUGGUGAAGAUGCGGUGGCAAAUUGACAAAAGCAAUAGAAAGGAAAGGGGUUUAUGUGUGUGUGGCAAUUCUCGUAAGAUUACAGUGGCCUCUUCUUGGUUUAACCCUUUCCAGGGUAAAACUUUCUUGUGUUUGUUGAGAUGUAUGACUUGAUCAAUGUAGGUGAAUGGCACAAUAAGCACAUCUUUCUCUAACAGAACACGAUCAUUCUCUGGAUCUCCAGAGUCUAAUGCUGGUGAACAGAUUUUAAAAAAGAUAAUUUCUGGAAUGUGUUUGGGGGACAUUUGUACAGAGAGUUUUACUGAAACUGGCCGAGGAAAAUGCUUUCUUUGGUGUUGAUAUUGCAAACCCGUGAUUGCAUGAUUGAUCAAAUCAUAGAUGCAAGUGCGAUGCUAUGCGAUAGAGAUGGUGAAGUACUUGGAAAUGUUUCAAGAGGUGAAAAGUUUAAGUGGGCCAGAAACUUAUAAAGCGAGUAAUUCAGAGUUGGCAAGGCGACAGUUCAGUUUUAUUGUUCAAAAUGUGUCUUUGGGUUGUUAGUAUUUCUCUUUCGAUUUGUAUAUUAUUCUGGAUAAUUAAUAAAGUUAAUUUCAACCAUUUG